GACGAACGCUGGCGGCGUGCCUAAUACAUGCAAGUCGAACGCAGUGGGGACGGGUGAGUAACACGUGGGUAACCUCCCAUCAGAGGGGAAAACACUUGGAAAAAGGUGCUAAACGGAUACGGUUGGAUGGACCGGCGGUGCAUUAGCUAGUUGGUGAGGUAACGGCCCGCCAAGGCCACGAUGCAUAGCCGACCUGAGAGGGUGAUCGGCCACACUGGGACUGAGACACGGCCCAGACUCCUACGGGAGGCAGCAGUGGGGAAUCUUGGGCAAUGGACGCAAGUCUGACCGAGCAACGCCGCGUGAGUGAAGAAGGUUUUCGGAUCGUAAAGCUCUGUUGUUAGAGAAGCGGUAUCUAACCAAAAAGCCACGGCUAACUACGUGCCAGCAGCCGCGGUAAUAC
rnacentral:rRNA from 1 species